rnacentral:pre_miRNA from 1 species
AAAGUACUCCCUCUGUCCCAAAAUUCAUACGGAUGUAUCAAGUCACAUUUUAGUAUUAGAUACAUCCGUAUCUAGACAAAUCUAAGACAAGAAAUUUGGGACAGAGGGAGUAGUUG